rnacentral:lncRNA from 1 species
CCUCCUUUUCUUUGUCAUGCAUGUAUAUUAAUUGAGUAUGGAGAAUUUCUACGCUUGUUCAGGCCAGCCAACAUAGGGCAGUUUACUUCAAGAGAGGAGACAUGGGUUGAACGCUGAAAACACACACAGCCAAGCCCAGAUGCUAGUCUUGCUAGCAGCCUUCCUUUACCUUUGAUAGCAGGCUGAGGUGCGUCUACAAUCUCAUGAUCCACUGGAAACUCAAAGUCAUCUGCAUUGGAAGAGAAAUUAAUGGAGAGAGGAGAAAACUUGAGAACCCACACUACUCACUCCACAGGGCAAAGCACUCUGUCUCCCGUGCAUUGCUGACCCAUCUCAGUAUUUCCUGUGACCAUCUCCUUUUUCAACUGAAGACUUCACACCUGAAGGGGUUCCCAGGUUUUUCACCUCGGACCUUGCCAGGACUGAUCCUCUCAGCUACUGACCAUUUCGCCUUCAUUCAUGUCCAUGCCACAUCAGGCUGUGUUGUCUAGAUGGAAUGAAUCCACCCCAAAUGUCCCUUUCUGGAGGAAGCCACCAUUAUGCUGUACCUCCAACACGUCCACACACACCGAGGCACCUCGCUCAUGCAAGGUGUGUGUCCUCCAACAAAGUUUCACGCUCUAAACCCAGAUAAUUUUUGAAACCCAAGUUCUGUUGAUUCCCCUACUUCAGGUGCUCCGUAGAUGCUCAUUUGUCUGCUAAACACUGCCCCAGGCAAUUAAAUAUUCCAAAGUGACCAGCAGAAUUUUUAUGUUAAUU